rnacentral:rRNA from 14 species
AACUUCUGAAUGUUGACCUCGGAUCAGGUAGGAAUACCCGCUGAACUUAAGCAUAUCAAUAAGCGGAGGAAAAGAAACCAACAGGGAUUGCCCUAGUAACGGCGAGUGAAGCGGCAACAGCUCAAAUUUGAAAUCUGGCUCUCGGGCCCGAGUUGUAAUUUGUAGAGGAUGCUUUUGAUGCGGUGCCUUCCGAGUUCCCUGGAACGGGACGCCAUAGAGGGUGAGAGCCCCGUCUGGUUGGAUGCCAAAUCUCUGUAAAGCUCCUUCGACGAGUCGAGUAGUUUGGGAAUGCUGCUCUAAAUGGGAGGUAUAUGUCUUCUAAAGCUAAAUAUUGGCCAGAGACCGAUAGCGCACAAGUAGAGUGAUCGAAAGAUGAAAAGCACUUUGAAAAGAGAGUUAAAAAGUACGUGAAAUUGUUGAAAGGGAAGCGUUUAUGACCAGACUUGGGCUUGGUUAAUCAUCUGGGGUUCUCCCCAGUGCACUUUUCCAGUCCAGGCCAGCAUCAGUUUUCGCCGGGGGAUAAAGGCUUCGGGAAUGUGGCUCUCUCCGGGGAGUGUUAUAGCCCGUUGCGUAAUACCCUGGCGGGGACUGAGGUUCGCGCAUCUGCAAGGAUGCUGGCGUAAUGGUCAUCAACGACCCGUCU